UACGAAGGGGGCUAGCGUUGCUCGGAAUCACUGGGCGUAAAGAGCGCGCAGGCGGUCAGAUAAGUCGAAUGUGAAAGCCCCCGGCUCAACUGGGGAGGGUCAUUCGAUACUGUUCGACUCGAAGGCAGGAGAGGGAAGCGGAAUUCCCGGUGUAGUGGUGAAAUGCGUAGAUAUCGGGAGGAACACCAGUGGCGAAGGCGGCUUCCUGGCCUGUUCUUGACGCUGAGGCGCGAAAGCUAGGGGAGCAAACGGG
rnacentral:rRNA from 1 species